GUAAGUGAGCAUGGCACAGGCAGGAGUUGUUUAAGAUAAGUUACAUCUUAGCUAAUCCAGCGACAUCUGCAUACAUCUUACGCCUUUGGCAGCAUCGUGGGUAUGGAUUGAUUGUUUAUUGUUAUUUACAACCUCAGAGUUGAAUAUUUUGGGAGAAUUUUACGUUUGUGAAGUUUGAUAUCAGAAUCUGCCAUUACUAAUGGUUGCACGGUUCUUAAGUCAUAUUGGAAGUUCAUAGAAGGACAAUUACGAGUGAAUGAACAGAUAAUUGAUCACAUGUUAAAAAGACAAGAAGAUUUAAUUCAUAUUAGAGUUUGAAUGUGCAUAUAUUUAUGUCCUGUAUCUCUGUACAUCUUAAAGGCAAGCAUAGUAUUUAUUAUGCUUUUGUACAUUUCAGUUUCACCUUUCCUUGCAACUUCAUUAAACCUAGACCAACUGUCUUCAGAGUCUUGAUGUUAGGAAGGAGUUUGGCUGGCUGUCAAACUAUAUACAAUAUAUAUACUGAGGACAGUACAGUGAAACCACGGCUUUCUAGCAGGCAAGAUAACGCAGUGUAAGCUGACAGACAGGAGUAACGUCGUCACACGCAGAUAGUGGAUGACCAUCCGAGAAGUGUCUAUAAACAGAGAUGCACUACCAGAGUGUACCAUGGCGAAGAAAGCGUCCUCGUUAAAGAUGCGCUCCCGCACUUCAUGUUCCUCAGUACAAUCAAGUACUUCGUCAACUGGGUCUGCAGCGGCCAAGGCGAGAGCAAGAGCAGAAGCAGCAAAAGCACGUCUUUCUUACGCUGAACAGGAAACUCAUUUAAUGCUAGAAAAAGCUAAGUUGGAAGCAUCUAUACAAAUGCUUAAGCAAAAGAAAGAAGUAGCAGCAGCUGUUGCUGAAGCAGAAGUACUUGAAGCUGCCGCUGAUGUGAAUAGUGAGAAACACAGUUGUAUGUUAAACCUAGAUUCUGUUCCCUGGGAAGCCACACAACGCGCCGAACAAUAUGUUAUUGACCAAACCCAGAUAGCAGCUGACUCAGGGCCGGAUCCGCCUCCAAACCGGCAGAUCCGUGUAACAGUCACGCCCGUUUUACUGCCCCGUUCCAGAUACGGCCCGCAUGUAGUCUGUGUACACUCAGGAGUGGGCGUGAGCAUCCAUCAGUCGGCGGAAUCAUAAUAGUUCUGGCCCGGACUCGUCGGAACGAGCGUGUGAAUUGUUUCUUUUUUUUUCUUUCGAAACGGUUCAUACCGGACCAGAAGUCAGUCGGCGGAAUCGUAGUUGUUCUGGCCCGGGGCCGUCGGAACGAGCACGCGAACUGUUUGCCUUUCUUUGGAUCAGUUCGGACUGGAAGCUUCGGGGAAAGAGUUUAUAACGGUUCAAUCUUUUCUUCACCCCUGGCUGAGAGCCCGGGAUUAAUAGGAGGCUGUACGGAAGAACCAAGCUGCUAGCAGCCCAUCGGACAACGAAAUUAACCAGCACGCCAUCCGCUGGUUCAACCUGGCCUCUGACUGUGGAGGUGGCUGCAAAGAACGUGCCAUGGCCAGAGAGGCAUUAACCGUGAAAUGAACACAUGGGCCAUCCCCCACUCUUCCACUACUGAUGAUUUGUUGGGUGUCAUGUGAGGGUUAUGGCAUUCCCACUUCUCCACUUGCCUCAUCAAUGUUUCCCGUAAAGCCACCAAACAAUGUGUAUGAACAUUUUACAUUUUUUUCAGGGUUUCACAUGACUAGUUGGAGUUGGAUAUUGUAUUUUGGCUAUAAAAUCUUUGUUAUUUAUACCAGGGUCAUGGAAAAUGGUUAAAAUCUAAAUGGCUGGCAGUAAUCAUCUAUCAAGACAAACUUAUUGCUUGUCGCUAAUUAAAACGUUAUCUUGUGUGUUUAGGCCGUAGAAACUCGUGUGUCUCCUGGCUUUAGCUUUAUAUGUUUCUCAGGGAGAAAGAAAUCUUACUUUCUUACCAUCAUCAUUAUUAACGGUACACUACACUAUGCAAGACUGAUAGCAAUGUCAAUGUAUUGAGCUUUUUAACUAAGCCACACUGUUGCUAUUAUUAGAGUUUAAUACUUCUGCAUUCAUUUAAAAAUAACACCUGUGUCAUAGGUGUGUGGUUACUGUACAGUUACUAGAAACUAAUUGUCACCUGCAAGUCAACUGGAGUGAAGUUUCUUGUUCCUACAGUUGUUAAAGACAGAAAUGAGCUGUAAAAUGUGUUUAUUAGAUUGAUUGUUAGUUUGGCAAUUAUCUACUUUGUUUUAAGUUUCUGUCCGCUCUUUUUAUCUCAAA